GCUGGGCGUGGUAGUGCAUGCCUGUAAUCCCAGCUACCUGGGAGGCUGAGACAGGAGAAUCACUUGAACCUGGGAGGCAGAGAUUGCAGUGAGCCAAGAUCAUGCCACUGCAUUCCAGCCUGGGUGACAGAGCGAGACCCUGUCUCAA
ensembl:misc_RNA Metazoa_SRP Metazoan signal recognition particle RNA